ACCUCCUCGAACACCUUCUGCAGCCAGGAGGCCCCGCCGCCCUCCGCCGCCGCCGCCCGGCUCUCCUCGGCGCGCUCCGGGAGCGUAGUUCAAUGGCUUUCUCUCCCCAGCCCAUGACCUGAUUAGAUUGAAGUUACUAUUUGUGCACACUGAAGGCUCCCUGUCACAAGAGCUGAGAGCAAAACAAUUCUUUCCCAGUAUCCCAGUCAUGAGGAAAGGGGAAGAAAUCAACCUGUUUUAAAAGCAAAGCAGCAGUGAGCAAUUGAGGUUCUUAGGCUGUACAACAGGGCAUCACUGCUGUAGGCUGUGAGUGCGUCAUUAACAUUUCUGAACCACUGCAGCAGUAGCAGGGUGAGCCCCAGGGCAGCACCCAGUGAACUCAGUAUCUGAAAAGGUUUGUGAAAAUUGCUUCAGGGAAGUGUGGAGCUGGGCAAAACACACAGAGGAGAAUAUCCAGUGAUGAAUUUGGUGACAGUAAAAGAUCGGUCACAGAGGUCCCAACUUUAAGCCUAUGAGUAAGUUAUAUUUAGAUUCCCUGCCCUAAAUCCAUUGAUUAUAAUACAAACUAUUUUUUACUUUUUGUAUCAAAAUAUU